GGGGCGUUUCUGGGCGGAGCUUGCGCUGAUUCAGCCGAGCUGCAAGACGGACCAGUUCAACUUCUCAACUAAAAAUGACAAUGUGCUACGAACGCGAAGAUCUGCAGACCGGAUGGAGGCAUCCUGGACUUUAACGAGUCCGUUAGCAAAGUGUCCACUGAUUCUGCUGCGUUGGAGGUCAAGUUAAAG